CUGGUGGCGGUGGUGUGUACAUGUAUUCCAACACCGAGUCAAAACAAUUCAGGACUACAUCUUGACACACCACGAAGUGUCCAUUGACCUAGCCAGCCACAAGCUUCAGAUGAAAACCAGAAGAAAUUACAGUUCGCCAAUUGCACUGGAUUGGGCCAAUUAACGGGAUUAAUGUGUUGCUCGAGGGAAUGGACAAUUUUUCGCAUAUUAAUUCAUGGAAAUGAUUUUAUUUUUUUUUUAUUAUUAGAAAUUUACGUACGAAUGAAGAGUUUGUAAAUAUUUGAACGAGUCGUCAUUCCCUCCAAUUGUCUCGUUUCUCGUGUAUAUAUAAAUUGCGACACUAAUACUUGGAGGUUUGACAAGGUGUUUACUGUUGAGAAAUCUCGGAAUGACUUUCAUGAUCCUAAGGAAUUGGGCCCCUAUUGACAAUUAGACUGGGAACUUGGAAAUCUCCAGAGUUUCACUGACCAACUAGUGGAAUUUCAUGAGACCGAAAAUUUCUCAUGAUAAUAUUCAUUUGUUUAAACUCAUUCUUGGUACUAGAAGAGUUUAUUUGCCUAAUCAGCUGGAUAAACUCUAUUGUUUUCACCGUAGGAUAAUUAAUGAAAUAAAAAGAAAGAUUCAUUAUGGAAAUUGUAAUGCGCAGUGACCAUCAUUAUUCUUUCCAAUCUUUCUUAAUAUGAAAUGACCACUCCCACUUGA